ACGAGCGAAGCUUAAAACUCAAAAGACUUGACGGUGUUCCAACCUACCUAGAGGAGCCUGUUACACAAUCGACAACCCACGAUCAACCUAACCCCCCCUUGAUAUUCACAGCCUAUAUACCGCCGUCGCCAGCCUACCUUUUAAAAGUAUUAGAGUAGGCCAAACAGUCUACACUAAAAAGUCAGGUCAAGGUGUAGCUUAUGGGGAGGAGAUAAUGGGCUACAUUUUUUAUGCUAGAAAACACAGACUAAUAUAUGAAAUAACUAUUACAAAGGUGGAUUUAGAAGUAAAUUAAACAAGAACAUUUAAUUUAAUUU
rnacentral:rRNA from 1 species